GGUGAACUAACGGGCCCAGGUCACACAGCAGAGCAGUGAAAAGAUCAUGGAUGGCUUAAAAUACCAGCCCUUCCUUCACCCUCCUUCAGCCUUUCUCUCUCUCUCUCUCACACACACACACACAUACACACACACACACACACACACUCCCUUCAUAAAAAUCUCACAAUGGCAAGUGUCUUAUACAAGACACACAGAGGAGAAGGGCCUGUGAAGAGGGAGGCAGAGAUCGGAGCAUCACAGCCACAAGUCAAGGAAGGCCGACAACCACCAGAAGCCGGAAGGGGGAUUAUCAUAGCUGUUCCAAAAGCUGAAGAGUCCUGUGUAUGUAUGUUUUGGGGGUCAGAAGAAAGAACCAAGUGCCCAGGAGGCAGUGUGGAGUUUCCAUGGAUGACCCUCCAGGCUCGUCUCCUUCUGAGCCGGAGCAGCCGCCAGAUGGGUGCUGCAGCCCAGGGGAGAGCUCCAGCUCCGUAGAAUCUGCAGCCUCUCAUGCCUUUUGAUUAUGGCGCUGAUGAAAGCGGAGGAAGCAGCUCUUCUCUCAGCAUCGGCUACUCCACCUUUGCAAGGCCUGCGUUUGGGUUGUGCUUUUCAAGUAAGGAGAUGUUGCUACCCUGGGAAUCAUGUCAAUGUGUUCUUAAUAUUUAGGGCUCAUUGGCACAUGCCUGCGGACUCAGUGAAGGUCCUAUUGGAUGACGAAAACAAGCAGAUCAAAAACUCAAAGUGACUGAUGUGGUCUGAGUGGCCACAGCUUGAUUUGGGCUCAUUUUAGAGGCGCCGGGCUGUGCUGUCCUGUCCCAGGCCGCUUGCUGCACACAGCUGUUGGGCGCUGGAAGGGUGGAGAGUCAAACGGAGGUGGGUGCCGAGUUGAAAACCCACACCAGAUGUCAAAGACAAAACAAAGGAAAAUAGCUCAUGAAUAGUUUUUCUAUGGAUUACAUGUCGAAAUGCUAAUUUUUAGAUAUUUAAUAUAUUAAGUGAAAUAAAGUAAUGUUAAAAUUGGUUUCA